rnacentral:rRNA from 1 species
UCCCAGGAGGCUGCCUUCGCCAUCGGUGUUCCUCCGCAUAUCUACGCAUUUCACUGCUACACGCGGAAUUCCACCUCCCUCUGACACACUCUAGCUCGGUAGUUAAAAAUGCAGUUCCAAAGUUAAGCUCUGGGAUUUCACAUCUUUCUUUCCGAACCGCCUGCGCACGCUUUACGCCCAGUAAUUCCGAUUAACGCUUGCACCCUACGUAUUACCGCGGCUGCUGGCACGUAGUUAGCCGGUGCUUAUUCUGCAGGUACCGUCAGUUUCACGGGGUAUUAGCCCAUGACGUUUCUUUCCUGCCAAAAGUGCUUUACAACCCGAAGGCCUUCAUCGCACACGCGGGAUGGCUGGAUCAGGGUUUCCCCCAUUGUCCAAAAUUCCCCACUGCUGCCUCCCGUAGGAGUCUGGGCCGUGUCUCAGUCCCAGUGUGGCUGGUCGUCCUCUCAAACCAGCUACGGAUCGUCGCCUUGGUGAGCCGUUACCCCACCAACUAGCUAAUCCGAUAUCGGCCGCUCUAAUAGUGCAAGGUCUUGCGAUCCCCUGCUUUCCCCCGUAGGGCGUAUGCGGUAUUAGCUACGCUUUCGCGUAGUUAUCCCCCGCUACUAGGCACGUUCCGAUACAUUACUCACCCGUUCGCCACUCGCCACCAGACCGAAGUCCGUGCUGCCGUUCGACUUGCAUGUGUAAGGCAUCCCGCUAGCGUCAU